rnacentral:rRNA from 1 species
UACGUAGGGGGCGAGCGUUGUCCGGAUUUAUUGGGCGUAAAGAGCGUGUAGGCGGCCAGGUAGGUCUGCUGUGAAAACUCGAGGCUCAACCUCGAGACGUCGGCGGAAACCAUCUGGCUAGAGUCCGGAAGAGGAGAGUGGAAUUCCUGGUGUAGCGGUGAAAUGCGUAGAUAUCGGGAGGAACACCAGUGGCGAAGGCGGCUACCUGGCCCAUUCUUGACGCUGAGGCGCGAAAGCUAGGGGAGCGAACGGG